CCUACGGGAGGCAGCAGUAGGGAAUAUUGGGCAAUGGAGGCAACUCUGACCCAGCCAUGCCGCGUGAAGGAAGACGGCCUUCUGGGUUGUAAACUUCUUUUAUAUGGGAAGAAAUGACUCUCGCGAGAGGCUUUGACGGUACCAUAUGAAUAAGCACCGGCUAACUCCGUGCCAGCAGCCGCGGUAAU
rnacentral:rRNA from 1 species